rnacentral:rRNA from 1 species
UUGGAGGGCAAGUUGGUGCCAGCAGCCGCGGUAAUUCCAGCUCCAAUAGCGUAUAUUAAAGUUGUUGCAGUUAAAAAGCUCGUAGUUGAACUUCAGACCUGACCGGGUGGUCCGCCUAACGGUGUGUACUGUCUGGCCGGGCCUUACCUCUUGGUGAGCCGGCAUGCCCUUAAUUGGGUGUGUCGGGGAACCAGGACCUUUACCUUGAGAAAAUUAGAGUGUUCAAAGCAGGCUUACGCCGGAAUACAUUAGCAUGGAAUAAUAAAAUAGGACGUGCGGUUCUA